AGGAUGGCACUACCCACAAUGGGCUCGGCCCUUCCACAUCCAUCACAAAUUAAGAAAAUGUCCUAUAGCAGUCUCUUAUGGAGGCAUUUUCUCAAUUGAGAUUUCCUCCUUGCAAAUGGCUCAUGCUUGUGUCAAGUUGACAUAAAAUUAGCCAGGACAGGGAUGACAACAGGGAGGGCUACACCUUGAUAGUUCCAAAGGGGGAGUGCUGACAAAGGGAAGGCAUUAGCACAGCAGGAGUGAGACCCUAGAGCUUGUUCUGGGGAUAGCAGGAUGUUGACCCAUCCUAAUAGGAAGGAAGGUAUUGACAGAUGCUAGAUGCUAAGGGGAGAUGUAUGAAUGGGCCAAAUGGCUGGGUUUAUAUGCUGGAGGUUUGAAAAGAGAAGAAAGAGUAGGAUAUGCCUGUCUAGGAAAAUGGAAGGAUGAAUGGGGUAGGAUAUUGCAAUGACUUGAGGUCAAGCUUAGAAUUCAGUCAUCAACGUAAUUGAGACCAGAACAGAAAGGGCUGAUGUGACCUUGACCAUAACUGUGCUGAGCUGGUUCUGUCUUUCUGCUCUACAAAGUUGUAAGGAUUCAGGAUAUCAUUGUUACGAAACUCAGCUUUGAAUUACUUCACACUUGUCUUUGGCAAAUGUUUUCAGCUUUGUCUAAAACAGUCCCAGUAUCUCCUGAGAGCGCACCUGGCUUCUGCCACUAACUUGCUCAGUAACUAAUGUAAGCACAUGACCAAAAUUCUUUUUGCUUUACUUGUUAGUCAUGUCAACUUGACACAUAAAUUAGAGAUGACUGAAAGGAGGGAGCCACGAAUGAGAAUAUACAUCCAUAAGAUCCUGCUAUAUAUAGGGCAUUUUCUUAAUUAGUGACUGAUGGCUAAGGGUACUUUUCUGAACCAGUAGUCCUUGGUUCUAUGAAGAAGACUGAGCAAGCCAUGAGGAGCAAGCCAAUACCCGUAUUCCUCCAUAGCCUCCUCAUCAGCUCCUACCUCAAGUUUCCUGCCAAGUUUGAACUCCUCUCCUGGCUUCCUUCAGUGAUGAACAAUGUAAGCCAAGGAAGCCAUCUUCUCCCUCAGGUACUUUGGUCAUGGUAUCUCAUCGCAGCAAUAGUAACACUAAAUAGGAGCACCCAGCUCUCAUCUCUUUAUCCCCAUAGCUACUCUGUGAGAUUUAUUAUAGAAUCUGGGACUCAAAGGGAUGGAAUUAUCCUUUAAAGUUCAGGUUUCAUAGUACGUCUACCUAAAAUCCCAUUUUAUUUUUUCUUUUUACUUUUCCACAUACAGAAUUGACCUUGAUUGUGUAUAACUAUAUUGUAGGGCUUUAUGUAUUAUGUUCUUGUAUCCCAGAUCCAUAUUCUUGCCAGUGUACUCUCAGGAAUCCAAGAUUUUAACUAGAGUUGCCCAGUAGCAAAAUAGCCCUGUUUGUUGGCAGUCUCAUGAUGUUUGUAAUAUACAAGACAUCAAAUGACCUGGAGUCAUUUGAAAUUUGAAAGAUUUAGGAAUGAGCACUAUGCUGACUGAAACUCAGCACUUAGCUACAAAUGGACUUUCCACACACCUUUUGGUGGAGGGUGGUGGGUGUAAGAAACAAUUCAUUUAUGUGGCCCUGGGAAUUGCAGAACCACCAGUCCAGUGUGUGUUCUUUGCUGCAGGCACAGAUGCACUGUAAGCUGCAGCGCAUAAACCCCUCUAAG
rnacentral:lncRNA from 1 species